rnacentral:rRNA from 1 species
GAUGAACGCUGGCGGCGUGCCUAAUACAUGCAAGUCGAGCGAACAGACGAGGUUCUUGCUCCCCGCGCGUGGCCAGCGGACGGGUGAUGAACAGGAACGUAACCUGCCGAUAGGGCUGGGAUAACGUCGGGCAACUUGAUAUAGUACCGGAUAAGAGAUUGAACCGGAGGGAUCAAUAGUGAAAGAGGGUUUUGCUGUCACGUAUAGAGGUUUCCACGCCGGAUUAGCUAGUUGGUAAGGUAACGGCUUACCAAGGCUACGAUGCGUAGCCGACCUGAGAGGGUGACCGGCCACACUGGAACUGAGACACGGCCCAGACUCCUACGGGAGGCAGCAGUAGGGAAUCUUGCGCAAUGGGGGCAAGCUUGACGCAGCAACGCCGCGUGCGUGAUGAAGGUCUUCGGAUUGUAAACCGCUGUUAUUCGGGAAGAACACCUGUGUACGUAUAUCCCGACGUCUUGACGGUACCUAAUCAGAAAGCAACGGCUAACUACGUG